CCUACGGGAGGCAGCAGUGAGGAAUAUUGGUCAAUGGGCGGAAGCCUGAACCAGCCAAGCCGCGUGAAGGAUGAAGGCCCUACGGGUGGUAAACUGCUUUUAUACGGGAAUAAAGAGUCUUACGAGUAGGGCUUUGCAUGUACCGUACGAACAAGCAACGACUAACUCCGUGCCAGCAGCCGCGGUAAUACGGAGGGUCCGAGCGUUAUCCGGAUUUAUUGGGUUUAAAGGGAGCGUAGGCGGCAUGUUAAGCGUGCUGUGAAAUGUCCGGGCUCAACCCGGGCCUUGCAUGGGAAACUGGCGUGCUUGAGUCCGCGAGAGGUAGGCGGAAUUCGUGGUGUAGCGGUGAAAUGCUUAGAUAUGACGAAGAACCCCGAUGGCGAAGGCAGCUUGCUGGAGCGUAACUGACGUUGAUGCUCGAAAGCGUGGGUAUCGAACAGGAUUAGAUACCCUUGUAGUC
rnacentral:rRNA from 1 species